rnacentral:rRNA from 1 species
AUACGGAGGGUGCAAGCGUUAUUCGGAAUCACUGGGCGUAAAGGACGCGUAGGCGGGUUGGCAAGUCAGAUGUGAAAUCCUACAGCUUAACUGUAGAACUGCAUUUGAAACUGCUAACCUAGAGUAUGGGAGGGGGAGAUGGAAUUAGCGGUGUAGGGGUAAAAUCCGUAGAUAUCACUAGGAAUACCGAAAGCGAAGGCGAUCUCCUGGAACAUAACUGACGCUAAGGCGUGAAAGCGUGGGGAGCAAACAGGAUUAGAAACCCGAGUAGUCC